rnacentral:lncRNA from 1 species
CUACGUCUGGUGAUUGUACAGGAUCGCAACCGAUGUCAAGUAGCCCAAAAGGACAUAAUAAGGAGGGGAUAGUGAAACUAGCAUAGGUCCAAGUGCCUUGACCUUUAAGGACUUUCACUACCAUAACACCGCUUGCUCAAAACAGGAAGAGGUAGAAUAUAGCCGAGACUACAAGGUACUCUGCUACUCCGAGUAAAUUAGAGUCCUGCUAGGAAAUUAAAGCAUAGAAUUUGAAAGAUAAAAGCAAGGGUAACUUAAAGAUAAUGAUAAACUAAUAGUUUGAUUGGCAAAAGAAGAGCCCUUUUCUCAACAUUACAAUCCAAUAUUUAUAAAAGGCUAUCAUCAACUGUUGGGAUAGGUGCCACCACUUAAUCUGGACACUGGGCCUUCCUACUGUGGCAUAUGGGCCACUAAUGCCAUACAUUAUAGGUCGUGCCACCACUCCACUCAUGUCCUAGGCAGGGGUAAGAGGUGCUACAAUUCAAUUUUGAUGCAGAUCCUCGCUAUUGUGUGCCACAUGGGCCAAUAUUAUCGUGCAUAGUAAGUAGUACUGCUACUCUCGCAUUCUGGGUAGUGUGACCACUCUUACAUCAUGGAUAGUGAUAACUACUGGCUAACUACCAUGCUUGGACUCCAUUCAACUAAAAACCUCAUCCUAGACCGAUAGCCCUCACCCCCCCAAUCUAUAUCACAAUUACUUGGCCUAUAGCCUUACCAUGUCAAUCUACAUAAAAUAUCUCUUUUGAAGACCUACUACUACUCAACCUACAUUGGAUGGCCUUCCGAGGUCUACUAUUGAUCAGUCUUCAAAUCACAUAUAUCGAUCUAGAUGUGAUGUAAAUAAUGCCCUCCACAUCCGUUAGUUGACGAUCAAGAAAGUGAUGGGAUGUAUGUAGCACCAUCGCCUGACUUUAGACUUGGUAAUCAUCUAACUUAGCUGGUUAAAAAAAAAAAAAAAAGGCAAACUGAGAUAUUGGAGACCCAUCAUUCACUUGCUUCACUUACUAAGAAGGUCGAUAGAUACAAGUAUUAGGAAAAAUGAAU